UAAUAAAUACACAUCAGUAAUAAAUAAUCGGGUAAUACCCGACCGAGCAAAUAAAUAUAAAGUCUGGUGUCAGAUGAUGAAUACUCUACAAAACGUUAAAUACUGGUCGUGGAUGGGCGCGUUUACCGUCUCCACUCUGUUCUGGUGUCAGCUUAUCUGGCUGGCCCUAAACUAAAUCUAAAACCUCGCUGCGGCGAGGUUUUUUGUUUU
rnacentral:sRNA from 1 species